rnacentral:rRNA from 1 species
UGCUUGCACCGAGAUUCAACAUGGAACGAGUGGCGGACGGGUGAGUAACACGUGGGUAACCUGCCCUUAAGUGGGGGAUAACAUUUGGAAACAGAUGCUAAUACCGCAUAGAUCCAAGAACCGCAUGGUUCUUGGCUGAAAGAUGGCGUAAGCUAUCGCUUUUGGAUGGACCCGCGGCGUAUUAGCUAGUUGGUGAGGUAAUGGCUCACCAAGGCGAUGAUACGUAGCCGAACUGAGAGGUUGAUCGGCCACAUUGGGACUGAGACACGGCCCAAACUCCUACGGGAGGCAGCAGUAGGGAAUCUUCCACAAUGGACGCAAGUCUGAUGGAGCAACGCCGCGUGAGUGAAGAAGGCUUUCGGGUCGUAAAACUCUGUUGUUGGAGAAGAAUGGUCGGCAGAGUAACUGUUGCCGGCGUGACGGUAUCCAACCAGAAAGCCACGGCUAACUACGUGCCAGCAGCCGCGGUAAUACGUAGGUGGCAAGCGUUAUCCGGAUUUAUUGGGCGUAAAGCGAGCGCAG